rnacentral:sRNA from 1 species
UCAGCGAGAGAACGUUGCCGCAGGCAACGGCCCGAAGGGCGAGGCGCUUUAGCGCCGAGUAAUCCUUCCCCCACCACCA